AUCCAAAGUGUUGAGUUCAGUCCAGGGCUAUGUCCCCUGGUCUGGUAAUUAAACUUUGGGACAGCAUGUAGUUGGGAAAUGAGGAAGGUGGGGAGUGCCCAUUCUUGCCAGCUUCCUCCUCUUACCCACACAG